GUCUACAGCUGGUGAAGGUAGGGAUCAAGACUGAGGGGUCUUUACUAUCUGUCCCUCCCCAGGACCUGCUGGACCCACUGGCCAGCAUCAGCCAAGCUGAAGAGCAGUGCCAAAGAAUGUAGGUCUUAGGCAGAGCAGAGUGACCCAGGCUACUGCAACAGGAGCCACCACAGCAGGAGCAUUCCAGAUAAAUGGCACCAAGAAGUCGAGCCUUACCUUGAGAUGUGGUGAGAUGGACAGGGACCUCUCCGUUUCUGUUGGUGUGGAAGAGCAUCCUCCAGGUGCAGCAUCCCAGAAGCUCAGCACUACAGAGCCAGUGACUGUUUGGAAAGCCUGCAAGAUGUUAGAUUAAAGGCAGAUGCCCCAGGAACAAAGAGAGAGGGUAUAUCCACAGAGACUCUGGACCUGGGAUCACUGGAGAGAGUCAGUGCCAAGCCUGCAGUGCCUCAGAGCAGCAGUAGAACGCUUCACAAAUGAUCCACAAACACUGCACAGAUGAGGG